CCUUACCAGGUCUUGACAUCCUCUGACAACCCUAGAGAUAGGGCUUCCCCUUCGGGGGCAGAGUGACAGGUGGUGCAUGGUUGUCGUCAGCUCGUGUCGUGAGAUGUUGGGUUAAGUCCCGCAACGAGCGCAACCCUUGAUCUUAGUUGCCAGCAUUCAGUUGGGCACUCUAAGGUGACUGCCGGUGACAAACCGGAGGAAGGUGGGGAUGACGUCAAAUCAUCAUGCCCCUUAUGACCUGGGCUACACACGUGCUACAAUGGGCAGAACAAAGGGCAGCGAAGCCGCGAGGCUAAGCCAAUCCCACAAAUCUGUUCUCAGUUCGGAUCGCAGUCUGCAACUCGACUGCGUGAAGCUGGAAUCGCUA
rnacentral:rRNA from 1 species